GGUUGCUUGCAAGGGCGUAUGGUGGAUGCCUUGGCAGACAGUACCGAUGAAGGACGUUUGAGGCUGCGAUAUGCCUCGGGGAGCCGCCAACAGGGCUUUGAUCCGAGGAUUUCCGAAUGGGGGAACCCGCCGGCCGUCAUGGGCCGGCACCGCGUUCGCGCGGGGGGUACGCAGGGAAGUGAAACAUCUCAGUACCUGCAGGAAAGGAUGUUCCGUGAGUAGUGGCGAGCGAAAGCGGAUCAGGCCAAACCGCGCGCGUGUGACAGGCGCCAGCCGUUGCGCGCGUGGUGUUGAGGGAGCGUGUGUCCGGGUCCUGGCGGGCCCGGCCGGAGUGAUAAAACGGCGUGUGAGGCGAACCGGAUUGAAUGCCGGGCCGCAGAGGGUGAUGGCCCCGUAGCCGAACGCGCGUCGUCUCCGGAUCGUGUUUCCCAAGUAGCGCGGGACUCGUGGAAUCCCGUGUGAAUCCGCCCCGACCGUGGGGUAAGCCUAGAUAUACCUGUCUGACCGAUAGCGAACUAGUACCGUGAGGGAAAGGUGAAAAGCACCCCGGGAGGGGAGUGAAACAGUCUCUGAAACCGUGCGCUUACAAACCGUCGGAGCCUUUCGGGGUGACGGCGUGCCUAUCGAAAAAUGAGUCUGCGAGUCAGUGGCACGUGGCGAGCGUAACCCGUGUGGGGUACGCGUAGCGAAGGCGAGUCUCAAAAGGCGUUUGAGUCGCGUGUCCUGGACCCGAAGCGGGAUGAUCUAGCCCUGAGCAGGUUGAAGCGCGGGUAAGACCGCGUGGAGGACCGAACCCACCUGGGUUGAAAACCGGGGGGAUGACUUGGGGCUAGGGGUGAAAGGCCAAUCAAAUUCCGUGAUAGCUGGUUCUCUCCGAAAUGCAUUUAGGUGCAGCGUCGGGGAUUACGUCCGGGGGGUAGAGCUACUGGAUGCUUGAGGGCCCGUAUCGGGUACCGACAGCAGCCAAACUCCGAAUACCCGUGACGCGUAUCCCGGCAGUGAGUCGGCGGGGGAUAAGCUCCGUCGUCGAAAGGGAGACAGCCCAGAUCGUCGUCUAAGGUCCCCAAGCGCGUGCUAAGUGGGAAAGGAUGUGGAGUCGCAUAGACAGCCAGGAGGUUGGCUCAGAAGCAGCCACCCUUGAAAGAGUGCGUAACAGCUCACUGGUCUAGUGGUUCCGCGCCGACAAUGUAGCGGGGCUCAAGCACGCCACCGAAGACGCGGCAGCGUCCGUCUGGACGCUGGGUAGGAGAGCGUCCCCAUCGGGGCGAAGCGGCGGCGCAAGCCUGCCGUGGACCGUUGGGGAGUGAGAAUGCAGACAUGAGUAGCGAGAGGCGGGUGCGAAUCCCGCCCGCUGGAUGACCAAGGGUUCCGGGGCCACGUUCGUCGUCCCCGGGUGAGUCGGGUCCUAAGGCGAGGCCGACAGGCGUAGUCGAAUGGAUGAACGGGCUGAUAUUCCCGUACCGGCAGCGAACCGAAACAACCGAGGCCUGGGGUGCUAACCUCCGGGCCCGUGCCGUCUCCCCUUUCGGGGGGUCGCGGCGCGGGCGCGUUGGGAUCCCCCCUCGUAGUAGGUCAGCGCAGGAGUGACGCAUCAGGGCAGCCGGCCGCGGAGGUGGUUUUCCGUGGUCAAGCGUUCGAGCCCGUCCCGCAGGCAAAUCCGCGGGGCGUCGGGGCGAGGCGUGAUGAUGGGGGCCUUACGGCCCGAAUCCGGUGAUCCGUGGUGCCGAGAAAAGCUUCGGCGUCAGGCGCGUUGCCGCCCGUACCCCAAACCGACACUGGUGGUCAGGUAGAGAAUACCAAAGCGAUCGAGCGAAUCCUGGUCAAGGAACUCGGCAAAUUGCUCCCGUGCCUUCGGCAUAAGGGAGACCCCCUGCGGUGAUGAGCGGCGGGGGGUGGCACAGGCCAGGGGGUAGCGACUGUUUACCAAAAACACAGGAGCGUGCGAAGGCGCAAGCCGCUGUAUACGCUCUGACGCCUGCCCGGUGCCGGAAGGUUAAGAGGAUCCGUCAGCUUCUGCGAAGCGGUGAAUUCAAGCCCCGGUAAACGGCGGUGGUAACUAUAACCAUCCUAAGGUAGCGAAAUUCCUUGUCGGGUAAGUUCCGACCUGCACGAAUGGCGUAACGACUUCCCCACUGUCUCGACCAGGAGCUCGGCGAAAUUGCAGUACGAGUAAAGAUGCUCGUUAAGCGCAGAAGGACGAAAAGACCCCGGGACCUUUACUAUACCUUGGUAUUGGCAUUAGGCGCGGAUUGUGUAGCAUAGGCGGGAGGCUUUGAAACGGUGGCGCCAGCCAUCGCGGAGCCGCAAGGUGAAAUACCGCUCUGUUCUCGUUUGACGUCUAACCUCGACAAGUCAUCCUUGUCAGGGACAGUGCCUGGCGGGUAGUUCAACUGGGGCGGUUGCCUCCCAAAGAGUAACGGAGGCGCUCAAAGGUCCGCUCAGC
rnacentral:rRNA from 1 species